rnacentral:rRNA from 1 species
AUUGAACGCUGGCGGCAGGCCUAACACAUGCAAGUCGAGCGGAGCGGCGGACGGGUGAGUAAUGCAUUGGCAUCUACCUGGCAGUGGGGGAUAACGUCCGGAAACGGGCGCUAAUACCGCAUACCAGCAGAUGAGCAUAGGUCGGAUAAGCUAGUUGGUGGGGUACAUGCUUACCAAGGCGACGAUCCGUAACUGGUCUGAGAGGAGGAACAGUCACACUGGGACGAAGAAACGGUCCAGACUCCUACGUGAGGCAGCAUUGGGAAAUAUUGGACAAUGGUCGAAAGCCGGAUCCAGCCAUGCCGCGUGUGUGAAGAAGGUCUUCGGAUUGUAAAGCACUUUAAGUUGGGAGGCGUUACCAACAGAAUAAGCACCGGCUAACUGCGUGCCAGCAGCCGCGGUAAUUC